rnacentral:lncRNA from 1 species
AUAAUGUGCAAAUAAAGUCAAAUAUUGUUGAAUUCCUUCAACCAUCUAGGGUUUUCUCUCUAUAGUUUAUUGGUUUAUUGUCUUCCUUAACUUCCUCUGUAAUCUUCCAGCUAACCUUAUCAAAGGCAUUAUCGUUUACCAGUUUCGUACAUGAUGGAAAUCUGUAUAGACUAUUUUUUCUUUAUUUAUGUUAUUCCGAAUAUAAACUGCAUCACACUUUAUGAUCAAAGAUAAUGACAUGAAGCUCUCUUAGGCACUUAAAUACUUUAUACUUUGGAAUUGAAAUAACAUAUUUUGAAACUUUCCGUUGAAAUUUUAUCUUUUGAUUUAUUCAAAUAGGUUGUUCAAUAUUAUAUGAAGUUAUUGUGAUUUUCCUUUUCUAAGCCACUGCUAAGAUGUGUUAUGAAUGAGAAAGAUAUUGUUCGAAGGCAAAUUUCAUUUUUGAUAGAUAGAAAUUUGGGCAUAUAGGCUAUUAUAAUAAAAGAAGGAAGGUAAAAUAAAACUUGCGAACUUAUGAAUUGCAAAAGUUUCAUGGAAAGUUCUUAAAGCUUUAGGAUGUUAAAGGAUUGUAGUAGAUCAAGACAUGGAAGUUUGGUUGAAUAGGUUAGGUUGUUUGAAAUGUGACUUGCUUAAUGUUUGGGACUUUCGAAGGACAUGAUUUAUAAUACCGAUGUAAGCUAAUUUCUUUGGCCCGAACACAUUUUCACUACUACUUUCAUAUCAUUGUAAAACACUUGUUAUGUUGCUAAUAAUGCCACAUCUUUCAGUUAUGUCAUGGCAUCACUGAACUAGGGGCAUUUUUUGAACAAUUGAAAAGAGAGCUUCAAGCGUUGGAAGCGGCAAAUGUGCAUGUAAUUUUGGAGAACAAGCAUUAGUUAGUGAGGUAACUUUGGAUUUUAAGCAUUAACAUCCAGGUGUUUACCGUGUUUUGUGUUCUUCUCAUUGCCAUCACUUGUGAUCCAAUAAGAUAUUUUUGUUAAUUGAUUGUAGGUGUAAAUCAUCUGACAUCAUAUAUUGCUAUUUAAUGAUAGCUUUUCGAUUUUACUUAAAAGUAUAACACCUGAGGCUUUUUUAUGAUG